GAUGAAGAACGCAGCGAAAUGCGAUAAGUAAUGUGAAUUGCAGAAUUCAGUGAAUCAUCGAGUCUUUGAACGCACAUUGCGCCCCCUGGUAUUCCGGGGGGCAUGCCUGUUCGAGCGUCAUUGCUGCCCUCAAGCACGGCUUGUGUGUUGGGCCCCCGUCCCCGGUUUCCCCCGGGGACGGGCCCGAAAGGCAGCGGCGGCACCGCGUCCGGUCCUCGAGCGUAUGGGGCUUUGUCACCCGCUCUGUAGGCCCGGCCGGCGCCAGCCGACACCCAACUUUAUUUCUAAGGUUGACCUCGGAUCAGGUAGGGAUACCCGCUGAACUUAAGCAUAUCAAUAAGCGGAGGA
rnacentral:misc_RNA from 1 species